AUUGAACGCUGGCGGAAUGCUUUACACAUGCAAGUCGAACGGCAGCACGGACUUCGGUCUGGUGGCGAGUGGCGAACGGGUGAGUAAUGUAUCGGAACGUGCCCAGUCGUGGGGGAUAACGUAGUGAAAAUUACGCUAAUACCGCAUACGAUCUAUGGAUGAAAGCGGGGGAUCGCAAGACCUCGCGCGAUUGGAGCGGCCGAUAUCAGAUUAGGUAGUUGGUGGGGUAAAGGCCCACCAAGCCAACGAUCUGUAGCUGGUCUGAGAGGACGACCAACCACACUGGAACUGGGACACGGUCCAGACUCCUACGGGAGGCAGCAGUGGGGAAUUUUGGACAAUGGGCGAAAGCCUGAUCCAGCCAUUCCGCGUGCAGGAUGAAGGCCCUCGGGUUGUAAACUGCUUUUGUACAGAACGAAAAGGUUUCUACUAAUACUAGGAGCUCAUGACGGUAUUGUAAGAAUAAGCACCGGCUAACUACGUGCCAGCCGCCGCAGUAA
rnacentral:rRNA from 1 species